UACGGAGGAUCCAAGCGUUAUCCGGAAUCAUUGGGUUUAAAGGGUCCGUAGGCGGUUUAGUAAGUCAGUGGUGAAAGCCCAUCGCUCAACGGUGGAACGGCCAUUGAUACUGCUAAACUUGAAUUAUUAGGAAGUAACUAGAAUAUGUAGUGUAGCGGUGAAAUGCUUAGAGAUUACAUGGAAUACCAAUUGCGAAGGCAGGUUACUACUAAUGGAUUGACGCUGAUGGACGAAAGCGUGGAUAGCGAACAGG
rnacentral:rRNA from 1 species